UGUAUCAUCACAGGUCACCUGUGACCAGUGACCAGCGAGUGCUCUCAGAUACUGGGCACACUUUUCAAUCAGGUCUGUUGAUCAGACAAGAACAACCAAUUAUCUGGCUCUGUUGUACUGUGGAUAGCUAAUAUUCUUGCCGUGAGCAUGUCAGCUCAGAAGUAGACCACAGGCUGAACACACACCCCAUCUAGUGGACUGCACAGGACUUCUGUAAAUAUCCUUUCCCCAACUCAUGGCUUUAUUCCAUCCCCAACCCCAGAGGAAAUUCCCAGAGAAGCUGUAUAACACUCCUACUCGGGAAGAACUCAGAGAACUUGACUGAGAUGAGAAACUGAAUGAGGACUCGGUGGGAAGUAACUGCACUUCCCUGUAGCUGAUGAACUUCAGAACUGAGAUAAAUGGCAAACAGAAAUGCACUCUACUGUGGAGAGAAGAAAUGGAGUCGAGAGCCAAGACAUCAACAUUCUUGACUUGAUUACAGCAACAACUUGCAUGACCUUGAA